GAGUGAAGAGGGAAGAGCUCAUCAUUGGAAUCUGGCAGUGUUGCACUGUCCGAGUUGUAGAUGAGGAGUAGUCCGUCUGGACUGCAUGGCGUCCAAGUACAAUAGGCCGUCAGUGGGACAUCAUAGAGGGUGACAAUCCCGUCCUUGACGCUAAUGUGCAAGUCUAUUACGAUGGCUAUCUCAGAGAGUCGAGCAGUUUGGGAUUUGCUGCUUAAACAUGGGAGGUAGAUUCCUUCUAAAGCUAAAUACAGGCGAGAGACCGAUAGAGAACAAGUACCGCAAGGGAAAGAUGAAAUAGCACUCUGUGAAGGGAGUCAAAAGGCGUGAAAUUGUUGCGAGAGAAGCGAUUCAAGUCAGCGUAGCUAGGCCCAUCAAGCGUCUUCGCUUUGGACUAGCUUUGCCAGCGGUCUUGUCCCUUAAAGAGACUUGACUUGUAAUAUGUCCAGCCUGGCGUGCACAGGCAGCCCCUUCUGGGGGCCAGUGGCAUGGCUGGUGGAAUGGCUUGCAAUCGACCCGUCUUGAAACACGGACCAAGGAGUCUAACAUGUAUGCGAGUAUAAGGGUGGCAAACCCGUAUGCGCAAUGAAAGUGAUUUUCGGUGAUUGAGAAUGGCCUGAUGACCAGACAAGCAAUACAUGUCCCUCGUACGGCCAUUGCCCAAGUUCCGUGGUAGAUCCCACGAACAUGGAGUUGGAGCAUACAUGCUAGGACCCGAAAGAUGGUGAACUAUGCCUGGACAAAGCGAAGCCAAAGGAAACUCUGGUGGAGGCUUGUAGCGAUUCUGACGUGCAAAUCGAUCGUCUGAUCUGGGUAUAGGGGCGAAAGACUA
rnacentral:rRNA from 4 species